UUAAGGUCAAGUAACAGUAAAUGAACGCCGUCUAGCGGAUUCCGCGAAAUAUUGCGACGUUUUGUACGAAUUACGUCCCUUUGACCAGAUUUUGCAAUGUUAAAAUUGCACCCGGCGACUUUUCGAUGGGACAACGUCAACGGUAAAUUUGACGGAAAGUAUGUUACUUCUAUGAGAAUGAAAUUGUUUUUUCUAAAAUUAAAAAUUGAAAAUGAAUAUGAAAACAGUCAUGAAGACGAUCUUCAAAAUGAAAAUCAGGUGUUUGACUGGCGUCAGGGACGUAGGAUGGUAGAGUUUGUAUAUCUGCCGACCAGUUAAAACAAGUGUGAAAACUGUUGCUCACUACUAUUUCUACAUAAUUGUGAUGAGAAAAAACAGUGUGGUCUCGGAAGUAUUCUUUAUGUAGUAUGUCAAAACUGUCCUUACAAAAACCCUAUAUUCACUGGGAAAAGACAUCGUCUAGCAGAAAAUAAGCAGAAGGGGGUGAAAGUUUGGGACAUUAAUACUAAAGUUAAAACUUAGUAUUGUACGGUAAGACUAUAUAUCCCAUAUUUUGAAAAUUAUCACACCAGUCGGAACAAGUAAAAAUAUAUUCAAAUUAGGGAAAAGAAAAUGAACCACAUAAACUAAUACUGGUCAUAAAUUCGCCGCUGCUGUCAGUCAGUCAAAGAUAUGGCACUAAACUAUAAUGCACUUAAAUUAAUUAACCUUGUUGGAACAAUAGUUUAAUAUUCAUACACAGUUAUUAGACUUAAACAAAUUAAAAAUAAACAAAAAUGAUGUUUCAUGAUCAUUAAUCCAUCGCUACAUUUUGUAUUCUAACGUUGUUUUUUUUUUUGUAAUGGUGUUUUCUUUCACGUCCGCAAUUUCGAUGUUAAAAAUAGAACACAAAUCUUUAAAUAGAUACAUGUAUAAAUAGUAUAUGGUUUGAAGAUUUAUACAUGGCUUAGUAUCCUAAUAGUAUUGAUUCGUAUGGUUGUCUCCUCAAAGGAAAUUGUUAUAUAUAUAUAUAUGGGUAAAAAUUAACCGAAUAAAAAAAAAAUGUACCCUAGCUGAAAGUAGCAUCUCAAAUAUAAAAUAGAACUGUUCUCAUUUCUAUUUCACUCAUAAAACUGGAAGGGGUCCUGAUACCGAAAUCCCGGACUUAAAAACAUGAAAUCCCCAGGUCCCGAAUUUAUAGAAAUUUGAAUUCCACCUUCCCGAAAUUCGAAAAAAAUAGCCGGACCCAGAAAGGAUCAAUCCCGAAAUCCCGUGCUUAAAAACACCCGAUCCCGGAGUCCCGUUAAAGGUCCCCCCUCAUUUGUGUAGUUGUACUAAAUAACAAAACACAAUAUUUCCAGUCAUGUCUCAGCCUGUGUGCGAUUGUUUUUUUUUUUUUUUUUUUUUUUGGGGGGGGGUGUUUUUUUGUAGGCAUAUUAAACAUAAAUAUGUACAUCUGUUUUUAUGUCAUAUCUCAACCUCCGUAUGUUUGGUUUCCUUGGAAAUGUUUUUACACGAUGUAUUUUCUGGAAAAUACACUGUACUACAAAGACCGUGCAAUGUCUUGAGAGAAAGCGAAAUUCAGAGAGAGAAGCACAUUAAUUUAUUGUCACAUAUAAUUAGAUCUCAAAGGGAGUUGCAGAAUAACGGAUACUGGCGAAUGUCAAAAUUGAACAAAAAAGUUUGCAAAAUUAUAAAGAAUAACAACGGAAAAUAAAAUAAUUAUUUAAUAUAAUAGUGUAGACCAUGUACAGAAUUAAGAAAUCA
rnacentral:lncRNA from 1 species